rnacentral:tRNA from 1 species
UGGGAUCUUAGCUCAGCCGGGAGAGCAUCUGCUCCACACGCAGAGGGUCGCAGGUUCAAGUCCUGUAGGUCCCAU